UGAUGAGACACCAUAUGAAAUGUUACAUGUUUUUCACUGAUAAUCAUAUUUCUGCACCAGGGAGAGCUUAGAACCAUUGGUUCUAUUAGAGAAAUGUAGGGAAUUAUUUUUCCAGCCCACCUCACCAUGCACCACCAACCUUUUCUUACUGUUGGCCAGUUUGGAAACCACAACAAAAACAAUUCGGUAUAUGGCUGUGUGAAUCUACAGAGAAACAUAAAACAAAACAUAGUGUGAUAUUGUUACAAAAUUCAGUGUCCUGAGCGCAACAAUCUAUUGCACUCACUAGAUAUAGAUAGGUAUAAGCGCUCUUAGGGUGCUUCCCCUGAUGUAAUGGGGGGCAAAACGAUCCUUCUGUUCACCUCCGGAUUCUUAUUCCACCAAGAGACAUCCACAGGUCAGGGUGAAAAUUUAAG